AUUGAACGCUGGCGGCAGGCCUAACACAUGCAAGUCGAACGAGUGGCGGACGGGUGAGUAAUGUCUGGGAAACUGCCUGAUGGAGGGGGAUAACUACUGGAAACGGUAGCUAAUACCGCAUACCAUCCGAUGUUCCCAGAUGGGCUUAGCUUGUUGGUGGGGUAACGGCUCACCAAGGCGACGAUCCCUAGCUGGGCUGAGAGGAUGACCAGACACACUGGAACUGAGAAACGGUCCGGACGCGGACGGGAGGCAGCAGUGGGGAAGAUUGCACAAUGGGCGAAAGCCUGAUGCAGCCAUGCCGCGUGGAUGAAGAAGGCCAUCGGGUUGUAAAGUACUUGCAGCGGGGAGGCGUUACCCGCAGAAGAAGCACCGGCUAACUCCGUGACAGCCGCCGCGGUAAUUC
rnacentral:rRNA from 1 species